GAGCCCGUGGCGCAGCGGUUAGCGUUUCUGAUUCCAGCACCUUGGUGUUUCCAGAAGGUCAUCCGUUCAAAUCGGGUCGGGCUCA
rnacentral:tRNA from 1 species